rnacentral:lncRNA from 1 species
CUUUUCGGGGUCGAGUCCGAGGGGGAAGAGGUUUGUUAAUACGUUCGCCAUGUGCUACGAUCUUGGGACGAACUGAGCCACGAGCGUGGCUUUGAGGGCCGUCCGAACGCUGCAGGCCGGCCAGGUCCCUGGGCGUCCAGGCCUGGCCUACGCACCACUUUGUCCCUUAGCGUUUAAAGGUUUCUUCCCGAAUCUCAGGCCCUCAGCUACCUGCAGGUUUCGUCGCGAGCCGGCUGCAAGUUUUGAACCUAAGUAAACCUCAAUCCGGAGGGCCUAGCGGUAAGGUGGGCGCUGUGUCUAUUGAAGUGCUUAGCAAUAAAGAAAGGUAGUGAGUUGAUUCGGUUUUCUCUCAAGUGUCUUUAUUUUCCUAUUCUGGCACCCCAGAGGUCUGGCUGAUCCACAGGCAAUCUUGGAAAAGGGUACAGACAUGAAAACGGAAGCUCGUUACCAGUGACUUUUCAUCUCUUGGGAUUGCCUUCUCCAUUUCUGCCCGUGAUUUUUUUUUUUUUUUUUUGAGACGGAGUUUUGCUCGUUUCCCAGGCGGGAGUGCGAUGGCACAACCUCCACCUCAAGCGAUUUUCCUGCCUGAGCCUCCCAAAUGGCUGGAAUUACAGGCGCCCACCACCACGCCCGGCUAAUUUUGUAUUUUUAGUAGAGACGGGGUUUCUCCGUGUUAGGCUGGUCUCAAACUCCUGACCUCAGGUGAUCUGCCCACCUCAGCCUCCCAAAGUGCUGGGAUCACAGGUGUGAGCCACCACGCCCAGUCAAAUACUGUUUUUCAUGCCUUUUGCCCCAGGGUGAGUCCAAAAAGGCUUUUGAGAUUUGUGGAGGGAAGUUGACACCACCUAGGGUUCCCAUGUGCCUCCUUAGGGAGGCAGCCAUGGGCCAUGGAGGAAUGGUAGCCACACACCUGCUGAGGGUUCUGGGCCUUGCUGAGUCUCUCAAACUCCAGCAUCCUGCUCUAGAAGUGGAUUUUUUUCAACAGAUGAGACAGACGCUCCAGAAAACACAACUUUAUUCACUAGGACUGAAAACAAAGGCUUGUGCAAUCAAAAGGCCGGGCUGGCAGUUGUUGUUUCUGGUGUUUUCUGUGAUUUCCCACAUUUUAUCACAAGGCCACAGGCAUCCUCCAAGGUCAGUGAGGAAGACCCUAUUGCUGUUUGAGCCAGAGCCUCCUAGAGGGUGGGCCGGGAGCAGGCAGCUCCCAGGACACACAGAUGCACGAUGUGAUUAGCAGUGAAGCCUUCUGUCCCAGGCGUGGGCAGGCGUCCUCCCUUAGCUGCCUGAGCAUGUGCGGCUGAAGACAUGGCUUUUCUAGGGUUAGGCACUGUGCGUGGUGCCAGCCCCAGCCCUCCCUCACCUGGACGUGCCCAGGAGGGGGCAGCAGAGCACCGUGGCAAAGUCUGUCCACUUGCCGCUCCCCGUCCCGUGCAGAAGACUGCUUUUCCGUGGCGGCCAGUGUGCGGCCACGGGCUCUCAGAAGCCUGCUUGUUGGGACUGUUGCUGGGAGGAGGAAGGGACAAGGCUUGACCUGGGGCUCCUGAAAACAGACACUCGGGCGUUGGCCACUGGGCAACAAAGUCAGAAGGGCCUGGAGACCCUCUGUCCAGCCUUCUAGGGACUGGACGGCUUCCUCCAGAGGACUGAGCUCAGCCAGGUUCAAGGGCGGCAGCAGGAGGCCCCUCGACCCUCCCUCUUAACGUAAUCAUGCAGCCGGAAGCGCGGCUCGCUGGGAGCCUUCAUGGAGCGCUGCUUCAACUCCCUGCGGAGUGGGGGUGACAAGGGGACACGAUGGCCUGGACUCUAAUGAGGAUUCAGGCCCUGGGCUGGGGGAGUCCUGGUGACUGGCAGGACUUACUUUGCUAUGGCUGUGAAGGCCAAGUCCACGUUGAGGCCCGUCUUGGCGCUGGUCUCCAUGAAGGGCAGUCCAUACUCCUGUAAACAGCUGCUGCCAGCCAGGUGGUGGCCUGGCGGGGACAGCCUAGGCUCGCAGCCUCCAGGGGCACCCCCUCACCACCCCCCUGCCCUGACUCACCUUGGCCAGCUUCUCCCCGUCCUCCCUCUUCACCACACGCUCAUGGGCAGAGUCCACCUGGCCCAGGCACAGGGUCUUGGUGAAAGCUGGCCCAUGGUUGGCCCCUGCCCCCUCACCUGCCCUGCCCUGUGGCCCAGGUGAGGACAGCCGGGCCUCCCACCUUGUUCCCCAGCAGCAUGAGCGCCACGUCGUGCUGGGCGUACUCGUGGAUCUCGGUCAGCCAGGCCUGUGGGAGGCAGCAGACCAGGCUGGGGCUCCCUGCAUGGCUUGCCCCAUGCCCCAGAACUUUGGCCCUCCAGGUCACACUGUAGAGGGCACCUGUCUUUAUCUUUUUUUUUUUUUUUUUUUUUUUGAGACAAGAGUCUCGCCCUGUUUCCCAGGCUGGAGUGCAAUGGCUCCAUCUCGACUCACUGCAGUCUCCAUCUCCUGGGUUCAAGCUAUUCUCCUGGGGUUCAGAGAACCUUGGGAGGGUUCAGCCUCCCAAGUGACUGGGAUUACAGUUACGCACCACCACGCCCAGCUAAUUUUUUGUAUCUUUAGUAGAGACGGGGUUUCACCAUGUUGAUCAGGCUGGUCUCCAACUCCUGACCUCGUGAUCCGCCCACCUCAGCCUCCCAAGGUGGUGGGAUUACAGGUGUGAGCCACCAUGCCCAGCCCAUUUUAUUUUUUUGAGACAGUUUUGCUCUGUUGUCCAGGCUGGAGUGCCGUAGCACAGUCUUGGCUCACUGCAACCUCAGUCUCCUGAGUAGCUGGGAUUACAG